GAAGGUGUAGUUCAGUGGUAGAGCACUUACCUAACAUGUGAAAGGCUCUGGGUUUGAUUCCCAGCACUGCA
rnacentral:tRNA from 1 species